rnacentral:rRNA from 1 species
GAUGAACGCUAGCUACAGGCUUAACACAUGCAAGUCGAGGGGCAGCGGGGAUCUAGCUUGCUAGAUUUGCCGGCGACCGGCGCACGGGUGAGUAACACGUAUCCAACCUGGCCCAUACUCGGGUAUAGCCUCUCGAAAGGGAGAUUAAUCCCCGAUGUUGUUGUUUCACCGCAUGGUGUUGCAACCAAAGAAUUUCGGUAUGGGAUGGGGAUGCGUUCCAUUAGCUUGUUGGCGGGGUAACGGCCCACCAAGGCGACGAUGGAUAGGGGUUCUGAGAGGAAGGUCCCCCACACUGGAACUGAGACACGGUCCAGACUCCUACGGGAGGCAGCAGUGAGGAAUAUUGGUCAAUGGUCUGACGACUGAACCAGCCAUGCCGCGUGAAGGUGACGGCCCUAUGGGUCUUAAACUUCUUUUGUCAGGGAGCAAUAAGUCUCACGUGUGGGAUGAUGAGAGUACCUGACGAAUAAGCAUCGGCUAACUCCGUGCCAGCAG